rnacentral:tRNA from 1 species
AUAAAGCGAUUUAGCUCACUUACGUUGAGACAACACCUUACUGGCGCUUUAUA